GCGCUCUGCACUGUUCACUCGGCGUCCGUACAGUCCGUACGGUUUAUUACUUUCUGGCGUUCUGUUUCGUUUCUGGCGCAUCUCCGGCACGCUGUUUGUGCAAUUCAGUUCUGUUUGCAGCUCCCUGUGUAGCUGUUGGCCUUUUCACUGCCUUGGUAUUCAUUAGGUAAUCCAGGUAUCGUGCUUUGUAUUCCUGUGUAACACUCUUUCGCAUUCCCUUUGGUUAGUGCACUUCAUCUAUGGCGGAAAUUAAAUCUGUCUCGGAGCUUGUCCCAACUAUUACUAAAAUUACUGAUCACAAGUUGACUUGGGUAAAUUAUUUGGAUUGGAGUAAAACCAUUCGCCUCUAUCUGCGGAGCAUUGAGAAGGAAGACCAUCUGACUGAUGAUCCUCCAACAACUGAUUCCAAAAAGACCUGGUUGCGGGAUGAUGCACGGCUAUUUUUCCAGAUCCGUAAUUCCAUUGACAGUGAGAUUAUUCCCUCUAUUAAUCACUGUGAAUUGGUUAAGGAACUAAUGGAUUAUUUAGAUUUUUUGUAUUCAGGAAAAGGAAAUAUCUCUCGUGUUUACGAGGUCUGCAAAGCUUUCUAUCGUUCUGAAAAACAGGAUCGUCCUCUCAAAGCCUACUUUAUGGACUUUAAAAGGAUGUAUGAAGAACUGAAUGUGUUAAUGCCUCUUACUGCUGAUUUGAAGGUUCAGCAUAAGCAACGGGAGCAAAUGGCUAUUAUGAGCUUUCUUACUGGUCUCCCACCUGAGUACGACACAGUUCGGUCUCAAAUCUUAUCCGGAUCUGAAUUUCUGACCUUCAAGAUGUGUUUUCCAGAGUAAUGAGAGCUGAGAAUCUCUUGCCACCAGCUGCUAGUAUUCCUACAAGUGCCUUGCUCAGUAAGGGCACCUAUGAGACUCGUAGUCCUAUUGAUAACCGCGGGGGGCCUACCCGUGGUGGUUCGAAGCAAGGGGGAGCCCCUUCUGACUCCAGUGGGGUAGUGUGUUAUUACUGCAAAGAACCGGGGCAUACAAAACGCACAUGUCGAAAACUUCAGAAUAAACAGCAACGGAAUAACUCUGCCCACGUGGCUACACAAGCCAGUGACACAGUCACGAUUUCUGCUGCUGAGUAUGCCCAGUUAAAAUCUACUACACCGUCUGUGAGUGCCGCAGCUACAACAGGUAAUAAUGCUACUGCCCUUGCUUCUUCUUCCUCAAAGUGGAUCAUAGAUUCCGGGGCUACUGAUCAUAUGACAGGAUCUUUUGACGAGGCGGAUUAUUGGUAGAGGUUAUGAAUCUGGCGGGCACUAUAUACUGGAUGAUCGGGUGUCUCAUGCGGUAGCUUGCGCUAGCAGUCAUUCUCCCUUUGAAGUUCAUUGUCGAUUGGGUCAUUUGUCUUUAUCUUCUCUUAAGAAAGUUUAUCCUCAAUUUCAGCAUUUGUCGUCUUUAGAUUGUGAGUCAUGUCAGUUUGCCAAGCAUCAUCGUCUUCCUUUAGUGUCUCGUGUCAAUAAACGGGUUUCAUCCCCUUUUGAGUUAGUCCAUUCUGAUGUUUGGGGUCCUUGUCCUGUAGAGUCCAAAGCAGGGUUUAAAUACUUUGUUACAUUUGUUGAUGAUUAUUCCCGGACAACUUGGUUAUAUUUAAUGAAACAUCGUUCUGAAUUGUUUUCCC